UCUGCCUCAAAUUCUGCUAAGAUUCAAUGCACCUUAAUGUCCUUACACAAACACCAAUGCUGUUGGAAAACUUUAUACAAAAGCAAGAGCAAAUUCUUUCUACAUCCAAACAUUUGAGUAUUUCACAUUGAGUUUAAAACUUCCAUUUAUCUUCAUAUACAUUGUAGGACACUUUGCAAUACAAAAUUUUAGACUGAAGUCAAUAAUUAAAGAAAAAUGCUAUAAAGAAUAUUGAUUCAAAUAGAAUUGCAUCACAGAAAGUGUUAAUAAAUUAGAUAAAAUAUUACUUGUAAAUGUAUGGAGAUUGAUAACUUUAGUGUAAAUUUUCCUGUAGUUAGAAAACACAUACUUAUAUUUAAAGGUUAGAGGGCCACAAAAUCUUCAAUAUUCAAAUUGUUCAAAAAUCAUC
rnacentral:lncRNA from 1 species